rnacentral:lncRNA from 1 species
GCCUCGGCGGCGGUGCUGCGGAAAGCGGAGAGCGGGUGGGCGCGAGCUGCAGGAUGCGAUGUAGUUCUCUCCUUGCCUCGGAGUUGUCUGAGUUGGUAGAGCCUCGCCCGGGUUCCCUGAGCCCUGCUCCCUUCGGGCUCGCUGCUAACGGAGUUGCUAGCCAUCGCUGUGCCAGAAAGCUCAGGCUCGGAGCUCCUGCCCUGGGGUAGAGUAGAGCUGUCCCCAGCCGAGGCGCAUUGUCUUCUCUCUGCUGACCCAUCUGUUUUCUCAUGGCAUCUCGUCAACAAACCCGAAUCCAGGCUUACCUGGAGAAAAACAAGAUCGGUCCUCUGUUUGAGGAAUUAAUGACCAAGUUAAUAACUGAGACACCUGACCAGCCAAUUCCAUUUCUCAUUGACCAUCUUCAAUCUAAACAAGGAAACCAAGGACAACUGCAAAGAGCUUUGUCAGGGUCAGCAGCUCUCUGGGCAGAAAGUGAAUCAUCAGAACCCAAAGGAACGAGAAGGGAUUUUAGAAGCUAUGAUAAACCUUGGCAGAUGAAUGCAAAGAAGCCU